AGUGAACGCUGGCGGUAGGCCUAACACAUGCAAGCCGAACGGCAGCACAGUAAGAGCUUGCUCUUACGGGUGGCGAGUGGCGGACGGGUGAGGAAUACAUCGGAAUCUACUUUUUCGUGGGGGAUAACGUAGGGAAACUUACGCUAAUACCGCAUACGACCUACGGGUGAAAGCAGGGGAUCUUCGGACCUUGCGCGAUUGAAUGAGCCGAUGUCGGAUUAGCUAGUUGGCGGGGUAAAGGCCCACCAAGGCGACGAUCCGUAGCUGGUCUGAGAGGAUGAUCAGCCACACUGGAACUGAGACACGGUCCAGACUCCGACGGGAGGCAGCAGUGGGGAAUAUUGGACAAUGGGCGCAAGCCUGAUCCAGCCAUACCGCGUGGGUGAAGAAGGCCUUCGGGUUGUAAAGCCCUUUUGUUGGGAAAGAAAAGCAGCAGGUUAAUACCCCGCUGUUCUGACGGUACCCAAAGAAUAAGCACCGGCUAACUUCGUG
rnacentral:rRNA from 1 species